rnacentral:rRNA from 1 species
AAUCCAUAGGUUAAUGAGGCGAACCGGGGGAACUGAAACAUCUAAGUACCCCGAGGAAAAGAAAUCAACCGAGAUUCCCCCAGUAGCGGCGAGCGAACGGGGAGGAGCCCAGAGCCUGAAUCAGCAUGUGUGUUAGUGGAAGCGUCUGGAAAGGCGCGCGAUACAGGGUGACAGCCCCGUACACAAAAGCGCAUGUGCUGUGAGCUCGAUGAGUAGGGCGGGACACGUGGUAUCCUGUCUGAAUAUGGGGGGACCAUCCUCCAAGGCUAAAUACUCCUGACUGACCGAUAGUGAACCAGUACCGUGAGGGAAAGGCGAAAAGAACCCCGGCGAGGGGAGUGAAAAAGAACCUGAAACCGUGUACGUACAAGCAGUGGGAGCACCCUUUGGGGUGUGACUGCGUACCUUUUGUAUAAUGGGUCAGCGACUUAUAUUCUGUAGCAAGGUUAACCGUAUAGGGGAGCCGGAGGGAAACCGAGUCUUAAUUGGGCGUUAAGUUGCAGGGUAUAGACCCGAAACCCGGUGAUCUAGCCAUGGGCAGGUUGAAGGUUGGGUAACACUAACUGGAGGACCGAACCGACUAAUGUUGAAAAAUUAGCGGAUGACCUGUGGCUGGGGGUGAAAGGCCAAUCAAACCGGGAGAUAGCUGGUUCUCCCCGAAAGCUAUUUAGGUAGCGCCUCGUGAAUUCAUCUCCGGGGGUAGAGCACUGUUUCGGCUAGGGGGCCAUCCCGGCUUACCAACCCGAUGCAAACUGCGAAUACCGGAGAAUGUUAUCACGGGAGACACACGGCGGGUGCUAACGUCCGUCGUGAAGAGGGAAACAACCCAGACCGCCAGCUAAGGUCCCAAAGUCAUGGUUAAGUGGGAAACGAUGUGGGAAGGCCCAGACAGCCAGGAUGUUGGCUUAGAAGCAGCCAUCAUUUAAAGAAAGCGUAAUAGCUCACUGGUCGAGUCGGCCUGCGCGGAAGAUGUAACGGGGCUAAACCAUGCACCGAAGCUGCGGCAGCGACACUCAGGUGUUGUUGGGUAGGGGAGCGUUCUGUAAGCCUGUGAAGGUGGCCUGUGAGGGUUGCUGGAGGUAUCAGAAGUGCGAAUGCUGACAUAAGUAACGAUAAAGCGGGUGAAAAGCCCGCUCGCCGGAAGACCAAGGGUUCCUGUCCAACGUUAAUCGGGGCAGGGUGAGUCGACCCCUAAGGCGAGGCCGAAAGGCGUAGUCGAUGGGAAACGGGUUAAUAUUCCCGUACUUGGUGUUACUGCGAAGGGGGGACGGAGAAGGCUAUGUUGGCCGGGCGA